rnacentral:rRNA from 1 species
UGAACAAGUACCGUGAGGGAAAGAUCAAAAGCACUUUGAAAAGAGGGUGAAAAGAACCUGAAACCGUUACGACAGAAGCGUAUUGCGUUGAAUUGAGGGCUGUUUAACUCUUCAGCUGAACGUGAGUUUAGUGUACUGAGUUAAGUAGUUAUCCGUCGUGCCUUUUCUGUGGCUGAUAUUGAGCCGCGGGAGAGGGAGGGAUCCCCUUUAUGGGUGAGGACGAUGGAGUGGCAACGCGAUGCGACCCGUCUUGAAACACGGACCAAGGAGUCUAACAUGUUUGCGAGUUGAAGGGUAGUAAACCUGGAGGCGCAGUGAAAGCGAACUUCUAAAACGGACAGUUUGUGGCGGCAUAAAAUCGUUGAUUUUAGGUCUGACUAAGAGCAAAUAUGUUAGGACCCGAAAGAUGGUGAACUAUGCUUGAGUAGGCCGAAGGCAGAAGAAAUUCUGCUGGAGGGCCGAAGCGGUGCUGACGUGCAAAUCGCUCGUCGAACUCGAGUAUAGGGGCGAAAGACUAAUCGAACCAUCUAGUAGCUGGUUCCCUCCGAAGUUUCUCUCAGGAUAGCGGGCCGACAAUUAUUGUUUUGUGCGGUAAAGCGAAUGAUUAGCGCACUCGGGGGCAUUCAGUCUUCGGUCGAUUCUCAAACUUUUAAUGCGCAAG